UGUGUAGGCGGUUCUUUAAGUUUGGUGUGAAAUCUCCCGGCUCAACUGGGAGGGUGCGCCGAAUACUGAGGGACUAGAGUACGGGAGAGGAAAGUGGAAUUCCUGGUGUAGCGGUGAAAUGCGUAGAUAUCAGGAGGAACACCGGUGGUGUAGACGGCUUCUGGCCGUAACUGACGCUGAGACACGAAAGCGUGGGUAGCAAAACA
rnacentral:rRNA from 1 species